rnacentral:rRNA from 1 species
UACGAAGGUGGCAAGCGUUGUUCGGAUUUACUGGGCGUAAAGGGAGCGUAGGUGGUGCGGUAAGCCCUCCGGGAAAGCUUCAGGCUUAACCUGAAAAGGUCGGGGGGGGACUGCCGCGCUAGAGGACGGGAGAGGAGCGCGGAAUUCCCGGUGGUAGCGGUGAAAUGCGUAGAGAUCGGGAGGAAGGCCGGUGGCGAAGGCGGCGCUCUGGAACGUUUCUGACACUGAGGCUCGAAAGCGUGGGGAGCAAACAGG